CGUCACCACUGACGGGGACAGCGCGCGCGCGGCGCAUGAAGCGACAUCACGCGAUGUUAGUAAACAGAAGCGCAUGCCAUCACCAUCAUCACCAUCAUCACCAUCAGCAUCACCAUCGGCAUCAUCAUCGGCAGCAGUAGCAGCGGCAGCAGUAGCAGCAGCAGCAGUCAGGACGCACGUGAGAGAGGCACGGAGAUAGACGGUGACACACGCGCUGCGGUGACGGUAGACAUACGGCGACGCAGAGAAGCAGUGACGGAGCAACGCAGUGACGCAGCAAGGCAGUGACGGAUAAACACUGCGACGCAGGAAGGCAGUGACGCAUCUACAGAGUGACGCGGCAGAGCUGCGUUUGGGGUUACACAGCGACGCAGCAAGGCAGUGAGGACGCAGCUGCGCGUUGACGCAACUGAGCAGUGAUUGAACGGCUAUUGAUACUGGAUAGCUCGGCAGGUGUAAUAUAGACGCCUGCAUCCUCUCCCAGUACUUCUGCAGCAGACGCGGCUACCGACUACGUCAUCAGACUACAAGCAGACGAGAGAGAAAACACGCAGACUCCCGCUGCCAACACUAGAGCAGCAGCAGCAGCGACCUCAGCGCCAUCUAGGAGUAUAACGACAGACCGCCCGGCGUCUGCCAGCGAAGACGAGAGCAGACGGUGCUGCCACACGACGGACACUCGAGAAAACAAAAUGGACGCCAGAGUAGCGUACGCGUCGUGCGUGCUUUUGAUCGUGUUGUGUGCGGCGAGCAGCAAGUGCGCCACCCAGCAGCAGAACCUCGCAAGCUUGUGCAGGGGGCAGAAGACAGCCCGCAUCGUCAGCACUCGGUGGGGUCGCAGACUUCUACCAUCG